GAGGCGGAGUGCGAGAAGAGCCGGUUUCAGGGCGGGCUGAGGGAUAGGUGGUAGCUGUUGGUUGAAGGGGCUGCGGUUACAGGCCGGCCUCAUGUUCGCAGCUGUUCCGCUGGAGCAAUGGGGGCUGUGUCCCGCCUUCGGUAGUUAGCGCUGGCUGGGAGCCGGGGGGAAAGGAGGCCCGGGACUCUCUGGAGGGCAGCCGGACCGGGGGUGGGCAGGGGCGGCCUGGCCCGGUGUUUGCGCGGGUGUCCCGGCCCCCGCCGAGCCCGUGCGGCCUCCCCGACCCUCCGCUCUCGCAUCCGUCAGGGCGGGUCGGGACAGCCGGUCUGGUUUGGGGAGUGAAGUGAAUGUGCGAGGGUAGAAAGCCUUACUUGUUAAAACACGAAUUUACUCUCUCGUUCCCGCCGCCUGUUGGCAUGGUAAAUAGUUUACCCGGCUUGUGGCUGCAGGUGACUUGUACAAAGGUUCUACAAGGACAGUAGGGACGGUUCGUCUUUGAACCACGGUCACAAAAUCCCACUUCCAUGGGAGGAAGCAUUUAAAAGGCCUCUUGGAAGUAUUCAAGCAUUUCCAACUGUUCAAAGGACUUUUUAAAAUACUUCCCCAGAAAUGCUGAUAGUGCAAUUUGAAAAACCUGGUACAAAAGAUGCAAAUAAAAGCAAAGGAGCACCUUUGGUUCAGAACUAUGGUUGAAUUGUGAAAUUCAGUGCUACCAAAACAGUCUACAUUGAUGCAGCACUUUCAAAACUAGCAAAUCCUAAAUUUCUUCACGUGCUUUCUAGACAAAUUAUUUGAGGUUUCAUUUAAAUCCAAAAAAUUAAAAAAGAGGUUUGAGACACUUCAGACAAAAUGAAAUGGUUAUGGCAGUAAACCUGUUCUUUUUUGCUAUUCAAAUGUGUAUUUUUUUUUGUCUACACAAUAAUGUAGACACUAGUAGUGUCUACAUUGUAUAUCACACAAUAUAUAUCACAUAAUAAUGUGAGGCACACUAGUGUUAGAACUUCUGUGAUUUUUAAUAGCUCUACAAGUAUCAUUAUUCUGAUCUGUGCGCUGAUAGUCAUUACAAUCAGGCCCUUCUGUCAACAGGUCAGGAAGAGUACUAUAUGUAAAUGAGAAUUUAUUUUGCAUGAAUCAGUAGAGAAAGCAGUACUUGCUUCGGGGUCUGCUCUGAUUUAUGCAGGUGUUUCUCACUUUUUGUGAAUUACUGUGAAGUAUACUGUCAGACAUAAAAUGGUAUGGAAAUGGGACAAAUCAUAAAAGCAUAGCUUCUAAGCAAAACACUUUCAACUUCUUGGUUGCUAUGAAGUGUAAAAUACUUUCUAAAAAUUGGCAGUUGUUGCACAAUCAACGAAAGUACAUUAAAGUAUUAUUCCCAAUCAUACAUAUAUCUCAGUUAUGGUGACAGCACAUGAAGUCAUGUUGUUUUCCAAUAUUCACCCAUGGCCAUGUAUAUCAUGGCUCAAUAUAUGUUGAUACUCCAAAUGCUGUGUGCACUGACGACUGUGUAUUUACUUCUCUUUGAGCUAAACAUGAAUGAAUGCAUGCAUGCAUGCAUGAAUGAAUGCAAGUUUGGAUGAAAAGUAUGUAUUUUUAUGUGCAGUUUCUGGUGCUUCAAAUCACACAUUUGACAUUGUGACAUUUUUCUGAUAAUAAUUUGUGGACAGUUACAGAGGAAUAAUCUCUCCUCUUGUAUGCCUUUCAAGGCUGUUAUGAAACUGCAAUGGGAUGUUUUCUUUGGAAAGAAUAGUGCAUAAUUUACAAAAACAUCAGGCUGGCAUCCCGUCAGCUAGUGGGGUUCUGCAGGGCUCUAUCCUCUUCGACAUACUCAUUUACCUGGACACAGGAUUCGAAGGAAUUGUGUGUGCUGGCAACAUUAAACUGGGAGGAGCUGUUGACUCCUUUGAGGGCAGAGAGGCCCUGCAGAGAGAUCAUAACAAAUUAGAGAAAUGGACAAUCACCAACCAUGUGAAGUUUAACAAGGGCAAGUAACAGAUUCUGCCCUGGGAUGGGGCAACCCUGAAUGUAAGGACAGACUGGGGAUUGAGAGGCUGGAGAGCAGCACUGUGGAAAGUGAGCUGGAGGUCCUGGCUGAUGGCAAGUUGAACAUGGUCAGCAGUGCCCUGGCAGCCAGGAGGGCCACCCGUGUCCUGGGGGCAUCAGGCACAGCAUUGCCAGCCAGGCAAGGGAGGGGAUUGUCCUGCUCUGCUCUGCUCUUUUCUGCUCUCUGCACUGGGGCGGCCUCACCUUGAGUGCAGGGAGCAGUUCUGGGUGCCACAGUGCAAGAGAGACAUGAAGCUAUUGGUGAGCAUCCAAAGUAGGGCUAUGGAAAGGGUUAAGGGUCAGGAGGGAAAGCUAUAUAAGCAGAGGCUGAGGUCACUUGGUCUGUUCAGCGUGGAGAAGAGGAGACUGAGGAGAGACCUCAUUGGAGUCUGCAACUUCUACAUAAGAGGAAGAGGAGGGGCAGACAUUGAUCUCUUUAUUGUGACCAGUGACAGGACUCGAGAAAGAAGAGUUCAAGCUGCUUCUGUGACAGCUGUACUUGGAUUACUUGUGUUUCCAAAGUCUUGUAGUUGUAGCAAGAUAUUUGGAAUUCUUCUGUAAAGAGCUCAGCUCUUUGGGAGGAGAAGAAGGAUUUCCAAUGCAAUAGCUGAUUGGCAGAAGGGAACAGUGCCUCACGGGAGGAGGGACACUGACUGGAACCAGCAGCCUGUGCAUCUUGUGCGGUGUCAGCAAAGACCACGUGACCAACAGUGAGAAGCACAACGAGCAAUUCCCUGUGCGGAUCCUGGACAAGAUCAACCUUUCAGCAUUGCAAAACUCUAUAAAAACUGUUCCACUUGAUAGAACUUGAGAACAAAUGAACCAACGAACACUGAUUCUCUCCUGAAUCAGAGAAAAGGAUCUACUCAUAAACACGUGAGGAGAGCAACAUGGCAACUCUAAGGACGGUGCAAAGGAGGGAGGGGGAGGAAGAGAUGCUCUGGGCGUUGGAGCUGUGAUUCUUCUGGAAAUCAUGGUGAGGAUUAUAAUACAACAAACUGUUUCCCUGUAAUUCAUGAAGCGGAUGUGGGGAUGCAGAAUUCACCCACAGCCCAUGCAGAAAAGGUGCUCGCACUGGAAUGUGUGGAUGCUGAAAAACUCUGAUCUGGUGAGAGGCUUGAUCAGAGAGAGAAAGAACUCUUGCUUCCAGAGAUAGAAAAAAGAAGACCCUUGCUUUUAUACUAGAACCGCUCAUCCUUAAAGACCCCAUGAACUUAAUGACCCAUGAAAUAAAGCAGUUUUGGGAAGACUGUUUUUGCCUGUAGGAGGGACUCAUGUUUCAGCUGGUUGUCAGGCAGGACUGCUACUCAUGAAAAUUAGAACCAUGUUGGAAAUGUUCACAGAAAACUGUCUCCUGUGGGAAAGACCCCAUGGCAUAGCAAAGGAGACUUCUCUAUCCUCAGAACAAACUGACUAAAAAUCCUAUGUUUUGUCUCCCUGCUCUGUCAAUAGGAAAGAAAAAAGUGCUGGGGGUGGGGGGGGGGGAAGUUGGGAACAGGGCGAGGUGGGUAAAGGUUCUAAAGGUUUAUUUUAGUUCUCAUUAUCUUCUUUUAAUUCUGUUAAUAGAUUUUUCUUUAUAUCUUUUAAGUUUUGAGCCUUUUUUGUCCUUAAAGUGUUUCUUCCCGAUCCUUGCCUUAACUUAUGAAUCCCAUUAAAGUGUUUUCUUUCCCCCUCCUCUCUGUAAUUAUAGCAGAGGAGAAUGAGUGAUUUUUGUGGGGGCGCUGGAAUUCGGCCAGCAACCAACCCCCAACACACAUUCAUUUAACAGCUGACUUUUGAAAAAUCAAUUGUGUCUUACUUGCAUACUCUAAUUGCAGGCACUGAGCAAGCAGUGGGAAUGGACACAGAAAAUAGCUAUGGAAUUUUAGUUUCUGAUAGCUCUUCGUGCACACAUCUGUAAACUAAGCAUGGUUUGUAAUGGGAGAGAUCUAUUGCAAAAGGGGUCAUAUAAAAAAACUUAUUUUUUAAUAAAUAACUUGUCCCUCUGAAUUGCCCUCGGACAUACAUAAGAGGUAGUAAAUCAGAUCCUUAAAAGAAAAAGCAUUUUGGUAGAACUAAAAAAAACUACCCACUUACUAAUUUCAGAGGCUUUUUUCAGAAAGGGCAAAUAAUGGCUAUGAAAAAUGACAGAUUUCAGCAUGCAGAUUAGGCUGUCUCUGAAGAAGAAGAAACCAAAAUUGUCUGUUAAACUUAAUCUGCCUGCUCAGAUUUAAAGUCAGUUAGAAAAGGAGUCUAUUUAAUGUUAAAAAUGCAGUAAUUGCUCUCUCAGUAACAGUAACUCAGUGCAUGCUUUCAAGACAAAAAGUAUUAUUUCUUUAAAGCAUCACAGAUCUCUAGAUGAAAGGAUUUCAACAUUGACUCAAUUUUGUACUGGUUCUUUAUUAGGACAGAUUUGUUUUCAAAAAAUAAGUAUGGGAGAUAGCAAAGUACAUAGAUACUAAAUCACUAAAUUUAGUUGCUGGAGAGAAACAGAACACAGAAACCAAAUUAGUUGCUUUAUUGUGACCCCAAUUGGUUAUUUACAACAGUGUUUUAAUUAAAAUCCUUAAAAUGUUAAGUUAACAAUGGUUAGUUUGUUCAUGGUUGAUACAAGCAUCACUGGAAGCACAUCAAAAGUGGGGAAAAACUCUCCAUACCUUUUCUGGAAAAAAAACCUGUCUCUUUGAAGCAUUACAUAGAAGAAAGCAACACUGCAUUAUUAGCUCAAAAGUUUAAUAUUCUUCAGGAGUUUAUAUGCCAAAAUCCCUGUAGUUCAGGAGGAAGGAUUUUCUUAUUAGGGUCACAUCUUUUUGUCCCCCAUUUAAAAUAAAUUACAAAAUGCUUUUUCUCUAGUUUUGAAAGGUGCUGUUUACAUUAAAUUGCAGAAUUAGCUAAGGAUGUCCAUUAAACUCCAUUCCAACCCAUUGUCUUUAUUCACCAUGCAGCCUUUUAUGCCCAUUAUAAGAUAAUUUAGAAUGACACCAAAAAUGUUUUUAUAUGGUGAUAAACUUUAACAUGAUCUGAGUGAAUAGGUAAAGACAUCCAGUACUUCACAAAAGUGCUUGACAUUAAAGGUCAUGGCGCCAAUACUGAACUAUUGGUAAGCACGCUAAAGUGGAAUCACUAUUCCCUGUGAAAUACUGGAGUACAGCAAAUGUGCAGCAAGCUCUAGCCCAUUCUUGAAAAUUCAAAACUCAGAAUAACCUAGAAGCUGAAAAUGGUAAAUCAUCAUUUUAGUAAGCAGAGAUCUGAAGUGUUGGAGAGAAAACACGCAAGUCCAUGAUGAAAAAGAUUGGCCACUGACAAAGGGAAUGUUUUGCCAAAGUUGUUCUUGUUUCUCUCUUUCCAUCAGGAUGAAAUAGAUUAUACUGUCAGCAUUAAAGUGAAUAAAGAGUUAUGGAUAGAGAAUAUACUUACUAUAGAUCUAUUAAACUGGGUAGCCAAAUUAUUUCAAAUAUUAUAAGGCACCAUUAUUUCUGUGAGGUAUAGCUGUAGUGCAUACAGAGUGCUUUGCUCCAGCUUGUGUUCUCAUAGAAUAAAAAAACAUUUAGAAGUAUGUGUGUACUACUAAAAUACUGUGAAUCAAUCCAAAGCAAGUUUUCCCCUUAGAAAAUUCCAUCUCUCUUAUAGUAAAUGACUUAUGAAUUAAGGACUUACGAAUCUGUAAUAGAACACUGAAAUAUCUGUAAACUUCUCAAACCACUGAAAGUGUUGGAGUAGAGCUCAUAACCAGGUAUUACAAAUUGCUAAAUAGCUUUCUUUGUUAACCGUCAUGGCAUUUUUAACAGAAAUUAAGGUUUGAUUUUUUAUCUACUAGUGUAUUAUUAAUCUUAGAUUAUCAGCAUCUUGAAAGUACCAGUGUCAUCUAAAUAGUCAUAAGUGGACAGGAAAAGAUGAUAUAAUAAACUUUUAUUUUUGUUCUCAAAACACAUUUGCCUUGAAAGCCCUAAACUCUUUUCCCUUUUUUUAUGUUAGCUUUUGGUAGGUGUCUGGUUUUUAUGUUAGCUUUUGGUAGGUAGGUCUAGUUUCAUAAACAAGGUGCCACUUCUAUUAAGCUUAAUUAAAAAAAAAAAGUCACCAGAAACUAUAAGAUCCAAUUGGUGAUAAGAAACUUACUUAGAAACAUGGUACCAGACUGUUAAACAUCACUUAGAAAAAGUAUAGAGAAGUUUAUUAUUGAACUCAAAGGAGUUCAAUAUAUUUUUUAUAUAAACUAUGACUGUAACUCAAAAUCACUUAUUUUUUCAUGCUGUUUAACUUCCAUAACUGUAUAUGGAAGAAAAUCCAUAUUUAAAAUCAGUGAAAAUAGGAAUAAUAAUCCAAAAGUGAUACAGAACACAAAGUGCUGAAUUUUGAAUCAAGAAUACUAUUGGAAUUUCUAUUCCAAAGGGUAAUUUCAUUGUAAAACAUUCUUCUUUGAUUUGCAAUAUUCAUAAUAACAGAUUAAAGAUGCUGUAUACUUUCUGCUUUGUGCACAUGCUUUGAGAUGCACUUAACAUUUGAGUAAUAUUUAGAACCAAAUAACAUUCUUCCUAUUUUUGUGAGAGGACAGCAGAGAAAGGCUGAGAAAAUGCAGACAGGAAAAUAUAUAUUUGGUAUUUAAUUUAGAUGAAAAUGAAUGUGAAAAAUGCAACAAAAGUACUCCAUCCUCUUAGUAACUAUCUGGGAAAUGUUAAAAAGCAAUGCAGCUUCACUUAGAUGUCCUAUCCAAAAGAUAAGCUUGGUAAUGAUUCUGUCAAUCAUUUGCAAUGGAACAUAAAGUGAAGUAAAAAUGUUAGAAAUACACAGCCAUAGUGGCCCCUUCCUUAUCCACCCUAACACCUCAAAACCCUCAUCAAGGCAUUUAUCAUUUCAUGUCUCAUUUACUGUAACAACCUUUCCCUGACUAAUCCAUUUUUCAUUGUGUAUCUCUUCCCAGAAUGCUGUUGCUAAAUUCACUUCCACUUCAGUUUAACAGCACUAUGAGCUCUCCCUUCUCCAAUAUAUCCUGUAUAAAGUGGAGCCUAUAUAAUCUUACAUUUCACAUUGACGUAUGGGACAACAGUAUUGGUGAAUUUUAUAAAAAUUAAAAUUCCAUGAUUCCAUGAAACAGAUAGUACUGAAUUUGUGUUGCUUGAUCAAUUUUGAUGUCACAGUUGUGAUCUGCAUCAGCUCAGUCUGAUUUUUUGCUGUUGGUUCAUGUUUGCAAUCCAUACUUCGUACAUUUAGAGACUCUGAAUUUUGCCUUUUAAAACAUAGCAUUGAAAUAAUACAUAGCAAAACAAUUCCCAUUGCCUUUGAAGGUUGCAGAUGUCGGUAUGACGUCAUAAGGUAAAUAGUUUUAUCAGCUUUCUAAUGACUGACUGCUUUUAUAAACUUUUAUAAGUGACUGCUUUUAAAAAUUCCUAUCACAGAUAGUUAUCUUUAAAUAUGUCUGUUAAAAAUAUGUUUCCCAAGGUUGUAUGCCAUAGUUGAUACUUACUCUUGUUUUAAGACUUGAGCAAUGUUUAAUUUGAGCCUGAGUGAAAAAUUUUUUUCUUCUCUUUCUCUCUGUGUAUGUAAAUGUAUGUUUCUAUACACUGUAUUUAUAUUGGUUAAUUGUAUAUUGCCCAAUGUGCCAUAGACUGUCACUUGUGCUUUUAAAUUCUAGAGGUUGUUUAUGUUUGCAAGAAUUGGUGAACAAAUAAACAGAAUAUUUUUCACCCAGCUA